GACGAACGCUGGCGGCGUGCUUAACACAUGCAAGUCGAACGGAAAGGCGCUGCUUUUGUGGGGUGCUCGUGUGGCGCACGGGUGAGUAACACGUGAGUAACCUGCCCUUGACUUUGGGAUAACAUCAGGAAACUGGGGCUAAUACCCGAUAGGAGCUCCUGCUGCAUGGUGUGGGUUGGAAAGUUUCGGCGGUUGGGGAUGGACUCGCGGCUUAUCAGCUUGUUGGUGGGGUAGUUGAUUACCAAGGCUUUGACGGGUAGCCGGCCUGAGAGGGUGACCGGGCACAUUGGGACUGAGAUACGGCCCAGACUCCUACGGGAGGCAGCAGUGGGGAAUCUGGCACAAUGGGCGGAAGCCUGAUGCAGCAACGCCGCGUGCGGGAUGACGGCCUUCGGGUUGUAAACCGCUUUCGCCUGUGACGAAGAGUGAGUGACGGUAAUGGGUAAAGAAGCACCGGCUAACUACGUG
rnacentral:rRNA from 1 species